rnacentral:rRNA from 1 species
UUUUUAUGGAGAGUUUGAUCCUGGCUCAGGACGAACGCUGGCGGCGUGCCUAAUACAUGCAAGUCGAGCGAACAGAUAAGGAGCUUGCUCCUUUGACGUUAGCGGCGGACGGGUGAGUAACACGUGGGUAACCUACCUUAUAGUUUGGGAUAACUCCGGGAAACCGGGGCUAAUACCGAAUAAUCUAUU